UACGUAGGUGGCAAGCGUUGUCCGGAUUUACUGGGCGUAAAGAGCGCGCAGGCGGUCGUUCAAGUCGCGUGUGAAAGCCCCCGGCUCAACUGGGGAGGGUCACGCGAUACUGAUCGACUCGAAGGCAGGAGAGGGUAGUGGAAUUCCCGGUGUAGUGGUGAAAUGCGUAGAUAUCGGGAGGAACACCAGUGGCGAAGGCGACUACCUGGCCUGUUCUUGACGCUGAGGUGCGAAAGCUAGGGGAGCAAACGGG
rnacentral:rRNA from 1 species